CGAAUUAUUACCAUCAUUCCAUAGGAAUGGUGGGUUUUGGGCUGUUUGUCGAAAAGUAAGAAACCCGCCCAGGAGGCGGGUUUC
rnacentral:sRNA from 1 species